rnacentral:rRNA from 1 species
CCCAGUUCGGAUUGUAGUCUGCAACCGACUACAUGAAGCUGGAAUCGCUAGUAAUCGCGAAUCAGAAUGUCGCGGUGAAUACGUUCCCGGGUCUUGUACACACCGCCCGUCACACCAUGGGAGUCGGAAAUGCCCGAAGUCAGUGACCCAACCGUAAGGAGGGAGCUGCCGAAGGUGGAGCCGGUAACUGGGGUGAAGUCGUAACAAGGUAAC